AGAAGGUGAGCAGCAGGCAAGCAAGUGAAGCUUCAUCUGUAUUUACAGCCACUCCCUAUCACACACUUUACCUCCUGAGCUUCACCUCCUGUCUGUUGAGCCACUGCAUUACAUUCUCAUACGAGUGUAAACCCUAUGGUGAAUUGGACAUGUGAGGAAUCUAGAUUGUUCAUUCCUUAGGAGAUUCUCAUGCCUGAUGAUCUGUCACUGUCUUUUAUUAUCCCCAGAUGGGACCAUUUCCUGCAAUUUCCAAUUGCAGGAAAACAAACUCAAGGCUCCUACUGAUCCUACAUUAUGAUGUGUGUUUGGGUCUCCUUCACCUUUCACCACGAUUUUGAAGCCUCCCCAGCUAUGUGAAACUAAAAUGGAGAUGGAAAGGGAAGAUCUAAAUCAGAAGGCUUGGGAUAUUCAGAUGCUAUUUUUUUCAAGAGAUCAUCAAAAGCUCCCUCUUCGGUAGGACUGGUGCAGUCUGCUGGGAGUUCACUUCAGGCCCUAUUCACCUGGUUCACUCCACCACUCACUGGAGAUGUCACCUGAGGAGGCUGGAGAAGAGCAAAGAUGAGUCCCUGCUCCUUCUGCUGGGGUCUCUAUCCUCAAGGUGCACCGAGAUGAUGUGAGUAGGAGCACUCCCGCAUAGAGUAUCUGAUGACCCCUGUUAGGGGGUCUCACCCAGUUUGGUGUCAUGGGGAACAGGACCUGUUUAACAAAGCAUUUGUCCCUUGUUGGAGGAGGUAUGCUUUGCUGGGGGGAACCCACUCAUAUGAGCUGUCUGGACUCCUCAGAACUAGCAGGAGGAAAGACUAAGUCUGCUGGUCUUCAGAGACUGUGGUCACCCCUCACCCAGGGGCUGAGGCCCAAGGAGAUCAGAGUUCUAUCCCUGAGCACCUUCUUGGAGUUUUAGAAGUUCCUGCAGGUGGGCCCUGCCCAGUGAGGAGGGAUAGGUCAAGGUCAGGUCUGAAGAGCACUCUCUCCACAGCAUGCCACAGCUGGUGUGUUGGGCUGCUGGGCAUACUUCUUGGGACAAGCCAUCCAGCAUUCCUGGGUCCAGCAGAGGAAAAGCGCAGCCUGGAGCUUAGUGUGUUAGGCAGUUACCAGUCCCAGUGUUGCCUGGCGCCCCUCCCUCAGGAGCUCAAAUGGCUUAGACAGCAGUCAGCCACAGAUGUGGUACUGCUCACCCCUCCCCCUAUAGAUUCUAGCUUCGUGGCUGUUGAGAAUCUGUGUGGGUCCACGGAUGAGACCCCAUGCCCUGGUGGCAUGGGAUCAUAAGUGAGUUCUUCUGAUCUGUGGGUUGCACAGUUCCAGGGAAGAAGCAUGUUUUCCCAGGCUAGAUAGCAUGCUCACUUACUGCCACCCUUGGCUGGGGCAUGGGGGCUCCUCUGCCCCGUGAGACUCUCGGGCAGGCUACCACACCCCACUGCUCUUUCUUCCUCCUCGUGGGUCAUGCCAGCUACCCAGUCAGUUCUGAUGACAGAACCUGGAUACCUCGGUUGCUGGUACAGGAUCCGCAUGCUGUAAUGGUUCUUUUCAAAGGGAGCCUCCAGUCGCUACUGCUUCCAGUAAGCCAUCUUGACCUGCACCACAGAUACUUUAAAGAGCUACUCUAUCCAUGUACCUUUAUGAAUCCAGGAACCACAAUCAAUCAUAGAUGGAAUUGGUGCCUACUUAAUUUCAACACUGACUUGCUAUACUCAGGCUUUGCUUAAUAUUAGAAAAAAAAUUAUGUUCUGUAAAGUCACCUUUCUUCUCCUGUAAAUGAAGAUUAAAAGAUGAUUAAACGAAUCUUCUUUAAAUUAAUUUCUACCCCAUAAACCUAUUGCAAGGAGAAAAUAAUAUACAAAUUACUGUAAUUGCUACUUUCUUACCAAAACACAUGUACAGUAAGAGUAUAUAAUGAGUUAUAUGCAUUAUUCUUGCAUCCAACUCAUUACAGUCAGAAGUGAUUUAUAAAAUUACUAAUGUAAAUGUUAUUUAACAACCUGUACUCACAAACUUUGGAAAUAGAAAUUUAUUCAUUUUAUUUAACUUUAGGAACAUUUGUGGUAUCUAAUCCAUAGUAAUGCUUUACCCCUCAGUCCUAAUGGAGAAAAACUUGGUUGACAACUUACCAAAAUCAUUUUAUAAUCAAAAAGAAGACCUAAGAAAAUAUCAACGCUGGUUGUGAUUUCAAUUACAUAAUUAUAUCUAUAUGUGUGUAUGCAUGCAUAUAUUUUAUAUAUACACACACACACAUAUAUAUAUGAAGGGAGAGAAAGCAUAGUUAUCCAAGAGUAUAGCCACAUUAAUUUUUUAUAUACAAAGAGAAACAAAAAGGAUAGUGAACCAGUAGGAUAGCCACUCUACUAUCUAAUCAUGAAGCCCUUAAACCUAGUCCAGAAAAGCUUCAAGAAAUUAUACAGAACCUACACCAACAACUUUUAGAGGAAAAGAUGCCACACUACUUUACUUUCAUAAAGUAUGAACCUUAUAGUCCACAAUGACAUCCACUCUUCUCAAAGCUUCUAUUAUUAUAACUAUUUCACUGUCUUCUAUCUCCAUUUUUCCUUCAAUAGCUUAUCAAGUCCAGUAAAAAUAUAAGGGUGGCCACCCAAGGAGAAAGCAUACAUUUCUUUCUGGGUAUUUGCCAUAAAUACCAACAUAUUAUUCAAGAGACUACAAAUGAAUAAUGGUAAACUCUAUUCUUAUGAGAAACUUUUAGCUUAUAUGGGCUAGAAUUUUGAAAUAGGUCUCUCAUUGAUAUUUUCAAAUGGUAAAUCGCUUUAUUUCCCAAAAUAAAUGCAGAAGUAUACAAUUCUAUAAAUCUUUCUAAUCAUUAAUUUUCAAAACAUCUAAUUCCAUGUUGCAUUUAAAAAGUACAGAUGAAAACUGGUAGAAUAGAAAUAUUAGAUACAACUGAAUGAAAAACACAAGUUGGAUUCUCACUAACAAAAUUCAGUCACUUUUCACUGAGAAGAAUUUUUUUAAUCUUCAAGACAUUUUUAAUAUUAAGCAGGUUUCCUAGCAUUACAUCAUCCCAUAUUUUUCCCCUGCAGAGAAAUUUAAACAUGUGCUACCAGAUACACACCCAAGAGGUCCCCUCAUUCAACAAGCAAAAAGGACAUGAGACUAUUCUACAGAUCGUCCAACCAUUUUUCAUGUAAUGAAUGAGCAGCAUACCCAGUACAGACUCCUAAGAGCUCUUUCAUCCUAUGAAUCUUAUGAUCCAAAAUAUGAAAUGGACAAAGCAAAAUUCACUGACUGAUAUAUUAGUUUAUGGAACAAAGUAUUUCUAUUUUAGGUUUAUAUCUUAAAUUUUCAAAUAGAGCAAGAUUUCCCAACCUUGGUACCAUGGACAUUUUGGAUGGAACCACUCUUUGUGAGGUAGAGGAGCUGUCCUGUCCACUGUAGAAGGUUUAGCAGGAUUCCUGCCCACAUCACUACCCCACCAUAUCUACUCGUGAUGCUAGUAACAAUACACAAACAUACACACCCCCCUGUCAAUUGUGGAUGACAAAAAAAAAUGUUUCCAUACAUUGCUAAAUGUCUCAUAGGGACCAAAAGCACCCAAGGUAAGAACUGCUAAAAUAGAACAUGAUCUCUGCACACUGAAGAGAUACAAGCUAUCCUUUUGUACUGUUCUAUACACUUUACAGACAACAUCAGCUACCUUUUCAGUAUCCUGCUCUGGCACCCUGGUGUCAAGAGCCCAGGAAAUCUUCCUGAGUGGAAAAUGUCAGAGUACCUUCUGAAGUAUGUCCACAGAAGAAUCACAAAUCUUGGAGGAGGAGGAGGGUGGAGAUGAUGUAAAUAUAAAGCUGACUGUGAACUGGAAUGGUGACAGCUUAAUUAAAUAUAUCCAAGUACUGAAGGUGGCUAAUGACAUCAAGCAGGCUAGCUUAAAAUGUUUGUAUAAUGGAGUACAGAAAUUUAUAUUCAUAGAGCAUUAGGGAAAGGUUGAUUCUACAUAGCACUUUUUCUUUGGGGAAUACAUAAAUAUAUGUAUUUGUGAAAAAAUUAAUUCAAGUAAAACAGCACAGUGCCAGACACAUGGUGAGUGUCCAUUAAAUGCGUAAGUGCUGGCUGCUAUUCUUAUUAGUAGUAACACUGUCAUUGAUAAUUUUGUUGUAUUAAUUUUAAUUCAUUAUAUGCUUAAAUAUUUUUAGUGCUUAGGAACAUUUCUUCUGGGAUACACCUCUCUCCUGUCUCUCUCUCUCGCCCUAUUCUUUCCCCAUUUAUUGUUUUGCCUGUAGAAAGUUCCUACUCUUCUUGAAAAGUUCAACCUCAAAAGUGAACUCCUCUCAGAGGCUUUCCCUAGGGUCCCAAGUAAAAAAUUGACUUUCUCUUCAUUUCCAUUUCCAUAACACUUAGUGCAUAUUUACAUCAUCGUUCUUAGCACAUUGUAUUAUAGUUAUUAAAGUCUGUGUGUGGCAGGCCCACCACAGUCCCUGGCCUCCAGGCUAGGAGCUUUUGAGGCCUUAUUUACUUGGCCUUAUGUCCUCUGUGCUUGCCACAUGGUAGACGCUCAACAAAAGCACGUCAAACUCAGCUGAAUUAUCUGGAAAAUUCAAUCGUGUGGAAACCUCAUUUUCCAAUAAUGCCAGAUAUAUGAGGUGUGACUGAAGAGCAGUGCCUUCUAUAUAGAAUUUGGGGCUGCCAGCCUCAUAUAAAAAGAUUAAAUAAGUGAAAUGAUGCAAAGUUUUACCAAGUAAAAUAAAGAUUGGGAUAAAUAUCAGAACACUCCUUUAAAUUACAUACAUUUAAAUAUGAGUGGGGACAAACUGGGAAGGUGGGAGAGAUGGUAGGAAUAAAAUAUAUAAUUUUAAAAGCUGUAAGUCUCACUAAGAUAAGAAAAAAGGUGACAUAAUGGAUCUGCCAUAUUUUAAAUUUGAUUGCAUAACACUGUCAAAGAAUUCAUAGGCUACAUGGUUAAUAGGUCAGACUGUGUCUUGAAUAUAAAACAUAUCCAUAAAACAUCAGUCCAAAUUAUUGUACCAAUCUCCCUCAACCAGCCACUCCUAGGCGGUACCUUAGGGAAAGGAAACUUUACAUAUGUGAAAAUGUAUAUGCAUUGUCAAGUAAAUUACAUUAAAGAGUAAAGUCUACCCUGAUUUUUCAAUUAUUUCUGAGUUUAAUUGAAAAUAUAAAAUACAUAAAAUCCACAUAGAAGUUUUGAGAGGUGAUUCUGCUUUAAAAAUAACCACAGGUACUAGUUCCUUUUUCUGCUUCCAUUUUAGUUCCUUAAGAAGUAUACAAAGCCACAAACAAUACUUUAAAAAAUUAAUUGGAUUUUAAAAUUAGUUUUCAAAU